UACGGGGGGCAAGCGUUGUUCGGAAUUACUGGGCGUAAAGGGCUCGUAGGCGGCCCACUAAGUCAGACGUGAAAUUCCUCGGCUUAACCGGGGAACUGCGUCUGAUACUGGAUGGCUUGAGUUCGGGAGAGGGAUGCGGAAUUCCAGGUGUAGCGGUGAAAUGCGUAGAUAUCUGGAGGAACACCGGUGGCGAAGGCGGCAUCCUGGACCCGAUACUGACGCUGAGGAGCGAAAGCCAGGGGAGCAAACGGG
rnacentral:rRNA from 1 species